rnacentral:rRNA from 1 species
GACGAACGCUGGCGGCGUGCUUAACACAUGCAAGUCGAACGGAAAGGCCCUGCUUUUGUGGGGUGCUCGGGUGGCGAACGGGUGAGUAACACGUGAGUAACCUGCCCUUGACUUUGGGAUAACUUCAGGAAACUGGGGCUAAUACCGGAUAGGAGCUCCUGCUGCAUGGUGGGGGUUGGAAAGUUUCGGCGGGUGGGGAUGGACUCGCGGCUUAUCAGCUUGUUGGUGGGGUAGUGGCUUACCAAGGCUUUGACGGGUAGCCGGCCUGAGAGGGUGACCGGCCACAUUGGGACUGAGAUACGGCCCAGACUCCUACGGGAGGCAGCAGUGGGGAAUAUUGCACAAUGGGCGGAAGCCUGAUGCAGCAACGCCGCGUGCGGGAUGACGGCCUUCGGGUUGUAAACCGCUUUCGCCUGUGACGAAGCGUGAGUGACGGUAAUGGGUAAAGAAGCACCGGCUAACUACGUG